rnacentral:tRNA from 1 species
CCGUCGGUGGUUCAGUGGUAGAAUGCUCGCCUGCCACGCGGGCGGCCCGGGUUCGAUUCCAGGUCGAUGAA